UACGUAGGGUGCGAGCGUUAAUCGGAAUUACUGGGCGUAAAGCGUGCGCAGGCGGUUUUGUAAGGCAGAUGUGAAAUCCCCGGGCUUAACCUGGGAAUGGCAUUUGGGACUGCAAGGCUCGAGUGCGGCAGAGGAGACUGGAAUUCCUGGUGUAGCAGUGAAAUGCGUAGAUAUCAGGAGGAACACCGAUGGCGAAGGCAGGUCUCUGGGCUGACACUGACGCUCAUGCACGAAAGCGUGGGGAGCAAACAGG
rnacentral:rRNA from 1 species